UCCAGAGGUGGCAAGCGUUGUUCGGAAUUACUGGGCGUAAAGGGCGCGUAGGCGGUCUUGUAAGUCUUGUGUGAAAUCCCUCGGCUUAACUGAGGAACUGCACGGGAUACUGCGAGACUUGAGAUCGGGGGAGGGAAGCGGAAUUCCGGGUGUAGCGGUGAAAUGCGUAGAUAUCCGGAGGAACACCGGUGGCGAAGGCGGCUUCCUGGACCGACACUGACGCUGAGGCGCGAAAGCUAGGGGAGCAAACGGG
rnacentral:rRNA from 1 species